rnacentral:piRNA from 1 species
CUCCAUGCUUUUGAGUUGGCUUGCUUCCCCC